CCCUUAGAUGUUCUGGGCCGCACGCGCGCUACACUGAUGAAUGCAACGAGCUCUACCCUUGACCGAAAGGCCCGGGUAAACUUGUGAAACUUCAUCGUGAUGGGGAUAGAUUAUUGCAAUUAUUAAUCUUCAACGAGGAAUUCCUAGUAAGCGCGAGUCAUCAGCUCGCGUUGAUUACGUCCCUGCCCUUUGUACACACCGCCCGUCGCUCCUACCGAUUGAAUGGUCCGGUGAAAUCUUCGGAUUGCUGACCAAGAUCCAGCAAUGGAGCUUGGUUGCGAGAAGUUGAUUAAACCUUAUUAUUUAGAGGAAGGGGAAGUCGUAACA
rnacentral:rRNA from 1 species